rnacentral:rRNA from 1 species
UACGGAGGAUCCAAGCGUAUCCGGAAUCAUUGGGUUUAAAGGGUCCGUAGGCGGUUUUGUAAGUCAGUGGUGAAAGCCCAUCGCUCAACGGUGGAACGGCCAUUGAUACUGCAAGACUUGAAUUAUUGGGAAGUAACUAGAAUAUGUAGUGUAGCGGUGAAAUGCUUAGAGAUUACAUGGAAUACCAAUUGCGAAGGCAGGUUACUACCAAUAUAUUGACGCUGAUGGACGAAAGCGUGGGGAGCGAACAGG